ACUAAAUAAGAUAAAUUAGGAAAUGAUAGACCUAAUAACAAUAGAAUUCCUAAACAAUAAAAACUCUUCAAAUUUCCUAAUUCUCUAAUAAUUAAAGUUCCUAAAUAAAAUUCUAAACUUCAUAUUCUGCAUUUUUCUCCCUUAGUUAGAAAAAACUUGACCUCGAGUCUUGAAGUGCGAGAGAACAAAAUCUGCAUCAGGAGAACAAU
rnacentral:misc_RNA from 1 species